UGGGGAAUAUUGCGCAAUGGGCGGAAGCCUGACGCAGCGACGCCGCGUGGGGGAUGAAGGCCUUCGGGUUGUAAACCUCUUUCACCACCGACGAAGCUAACGUGACGGUAGGUGGGGAAGAAGCGCCGGCUAACUACGUGCCAGCAGCCGCGGUAAUACGUAGGGCGCAAGCGUUGUCCGGAAUUAUUGGGCGUAAAGAGCUCGUAGGCGGUUUGUCGCGUCUGCCGUGAAAACCCGAGGCUUAACCUCGG
rnacentral:rRNA from 1 species